AAAUUAAAGGCGAAAACAAGGAACAGUAACACAGAAUUAGUACUGCCAGAGUGUAAGCUAGGAUUCAAAUUAGACCAAUAACAACCCCACUAGCCCCAAUACUUUGAAAACAAUAGUUAACAAAAAAAAUAAUCGAUGAUCUAGGAAGCAUUACAUAUCAUGAAACUAAAAUAUGUUCAUUGAGAUAUGCAUAAUUAUAUAUAUUGGCUCAUGCAGAUUUCUCAGCUUCUGCAGCUGCUUCUUCCUCUUGCAACUUCUUCAAAGAUGGAGGUGGCCUCACAACAAUGCUUUUCUUCCAUUGCCGAUCAAACUUUCUUGACAACCUCUUGUUGAUCCCCUCAUCAAUCUCUCUUUCCCGUUUAACAGUAAGCAUACGAGCAAUCCUUUUGCGCAUGCGGCGGAACUCGCUAGACUUGAACUCAUUGCGCGCCGAUUUCUGAAGCCGAAGC
rnacentral:misc_RNA from 1 species